AAGCAGUGAUGAACUUUGCGCAUGUGGUGAUUGGGUCGCCACUGUCUAUCUGAAAAACAUAAGAUGACUAACAGCGUAUCUGAGCUU